rnacentral:rRNA from 1 species
UACGUAGGGUGCGAGCGUUGUCCGGAUUUACUGGGCGUAAAGAGCUCGUAGGCGGUUUGUCACGUCGUCUGUGAAAACCCGAGGCUUAACCUCGGGCCUGCAGGCGAUACGGGCAGACUUGAGUACUGUAGGGGAGACUGGAAUUCCUGGUGUAGCGGUGGAAUGCGCAGAUAUCAGGAGGAACACCGGUGGCGAAGGCGGGUCUCUGGGCAGUAACUGACGCUGAGGAGCGAAAGCGUGGGGAGCGAACAGG